ACGCUCGACACCUACGGAGGCAGCAGUGGGGAAUAUUGCACAAUGGGGGAAACCCUGAUGCAGCGACGCCGCGUGAGUGAAGAAGUAUUUCGGUAUGUAAAGCUCUAUCAGCAGGGAAGAAGAUGACGGUACCUGAGUAAGAAGCCCCGGCUAACUACGUGCCUGCAGCCGCGGUAAUCUGAGCGGGCUGGCAAGGC
rnacentral:rRNA from 1 species